CGUCGAGUGGCGGACGGGUGAGUAACGCGUAGGAAUCUACCCAGUAGUGGGGGACAACCCGGGGAAACCCAGGCUAAUACCGCAUACACCCUACGGGGAAAAGAGGGCCUCUUCUUGAAAGCUCUUGCUAUUGGAUGAGCCUGCGUGAGAUUAGCUAGUUGGUAGGGUAAAGGCCUACCAAGGCGACGAUCUCUAGCUGGUCUGAGAGGACGAUCAGCCACACUGGGACUGAGACACGGCCCAG
rnacentral:rRNA from 1 species